rnacentral:misc_RNA from 1 species
GCAAACUUGGUCAUUUAGAGGAAGUAAAAGUCGUAACAAGGUUUCCGUAGGUGAACCUGCGGAAGGAUCAUUAUUGAAUAAAUCUGACGUGGUUGUAGCUGGCUCACCCGAGCAUGUGCACGCCCGUCACCUUUAUCUUUCCACCUGUGCACACAUUGUAGAUCUGGAUACCUCUCGUCGAAAGGCGGAUGCAAGGCUUGCUGCGCCUCUUUCCAAAGGCCGGCUUGCUUUGAAUUUUCAGGUCUAUGAACUUUUUACAUACCCCAAACGAAUGUUAAGGAAUGUAAUCAUAAGGCCUAGUGCCUAUAAACCUAUACAACUUUCAGCAACGGAUCUCUUGGCUCUCGCAUCGAUGAAGAACGCAGC